CCAGAGGACCAGGGUUCAAUCCUAUCUGCCACAAGAGACUCACAGCUGUCUCUGAAUUCAGUCCCAGAUGCCCUCUUCUGGCUCCCACACAGGCAUUGAAUGCAUGUGGUAGAUAAACAUGCAGACAAAACACAUAUACACAUAAAUUAAAUUUAAAAGCAAUAAAUAAGUAAAUAAUAAGGAAGAACUGGGAAUAUUGUCCAGUGGACUAGUCCAUAGGUCCUAGGUUUACUACCCAAGAAAAAAGACAGAUACACAGGUGGAAAGAAAGAGGGAGAAUCAGAGUCUCAUAAAGUUGUGCUUCUCUUUCCUUUAUACAAGGCCACAUCAAAAACUGAUGCCUAUGACAACCAACCUACACAUACAUGGUCAUUGUUUACACGUCACCCAUGAGCAACCCAGACUGACCAAGAUAGUUGUAAAAAAAAAAGUGCAGAAAGUGAGUCUAUAAAUGCCAAAAGAAAGGCCAAUAAGAUGUGUAAUUUAUAUUGAGACUGCAUUACUGCCCCAAGGACCGCAAUAACCAGACAAAAGUCUUUGUGUUGUAUCAGACAAUGAUCAUCUGACAUCUAUCAGCAUUCUCCAAGUUGCCUCUUCCCCUCGGAGUUAUGUAAUAUUCUAAUCAAUAAUUAAUAGCGAGUUAAAUAAAGGACAGGGCAGAAAAUCAAAUGACUUCAAAGCCGUUAGUCAGAGCUGCACCUGGGUAGACACAGGAAGACCUGUGCACCUUUGGCUUCAUUAAAAUCUUGGACAGUUUUCUCAACAGAAGUAUGUAAGCAUGUGCUCAUGUCUGUGACAUUUAGGAGGUUAUGAAUAUUUAAGAAAUAGGAACUGAAAGUCCUUCUGCUUGCUAAUGGAGGCGACACCCACAUCACCAGAGGCUUUUAGAGACAAUCAUCGGGCCUGCCAGCCCAGCAGGAUGCAAUCUGCAAUUACUUUGCUGCAGAUUUGGAAACAGAAUUGAUUUUACCUUAUGUAAUCCUACUGACCCAAGAACUCUAGAAAGCCAUUUUGGAGUGAGUCAACAGAUUUGGGGUCUAUAGAGGAAAUAACUUUGAAGCCCAGAAGUUCAAGUCCUUAGAAUCAUUCUGAAUACCGCUGUGUAUUUUUGUUCUAGUGUGCUUUGGCUAGACCAAGAAGGCUGGUCUCACAAAAAUGCACAAGACAUAUGGCACAGAGCCUCCAAAGGAUCCAUUUGUACUUCUGUCAAAGAAAAACAUCUAUAUCUAUGUAAUCAGUGUUUUCCUACUACAUAUAAGUUUGUAGUCAAGACAAAAUACUGACUUUAAAAUCCCAAAUAAAGGGAACAAUGGGUGUUUUUAUGGGCAUAAGUUGGCAUUUAGAAUAUCUAGAUCACAAUUUCUUCAUUCUGUGGGAGAGCGGAUGUUACCAUGGUGUCACCCAUGAUAGCAUAUCUCAAGCUUGCCAGUGAAUGAAUUCAUACUCUUUUCACUAUUUUUUUUUUACCAAUUAUGGAUUGUAUAUGGUUUAGUUGUGUGACCAGGACCUUACAAGCACUAUGGCCAACCCACCCAGUACUAUGACAUGUUCAGAGAGUGUCCCUGCCAUAUACUUAGAUAUCACUAAAUAGCGGACUGCUUUAAAGGUUUCUAACACUUUCUGAUUCUGUGUUUACCUCAAUGUUAGCCUGUCACAACAGGUCAAGGAAAGUGUCAGUUGUUAGGCAGUAGAUCUAGAAAGUCUGUAAACCUGUCCAUUCCAGGAAGACUUAGAAAUAGAAGGGGAACACAAAACAAGAAGCUAUGAAACAACACAAUCUCUUUCCUUAGCUUCACUCUAGUCCACACUAGGGAUUUCAAAAUAUCCAGGCUCAUAUGAAGAGUUCAAGGGCAUAAGACCAGGGCCCACUAACUGAGUUUCACUCAGAGGAACCUGCAGAACUGUGGACAUGCUGAAACCAUAGUUAGCAUGUACAAGAAGAAUGGAAUGGAGGUAAUGAGUUAAACACACCUGAGCUCAUGUUCUUGGUUCCAUCUCUCUAUGUAUAGCCAAUAAGGCAUCCAGACUUGCUCAUCCAGCCAUCCUGGAAUAUGCUAUGGGAGGCCAGAGAGGCUUCAAUGUUAGGACAAAGGGAUAGCCUUGGUGGGGACUUAGAAACAAGUAUAAAUAGUGCACUUCUCCUGAAAGGUCAGAUGAACCAGAUACAUCCAGCAGUCACCCUACCAGGGAUCAGAAGGCAGCACAGAUCCAGAAUACUCUGUAUGGAUCUCAAAAUGCUCAUCACCACAUCACAAGGACAUAAUGACCCUCCGUACACCCACAUCUGCUGGAAGGUAAGUAAGGAGGGGAGAUGGGACCCAGAAAGCCUAAAGAAUGGAGGACUGAACUCAUCUAUGGUAAAAAUUAAAAUAAGAUGAAAUAGUUUUUAAAAGUCUGGUGGUCGUUUAAUCAGAAAAGAGAUUUUUAAUUGUAGGAAUAUGUAGCAUUGGUAAUAAGUUUCCCUCAACAACCCGGAAAGAUGGGUCCCUGUAAACCUGGAAAGGAUAUUAAGUCUGCUGUAAGAAGUGCAGGUGCAUUUUCCUAGUGUAUUAAAGGAACAUAGGCAUAUUCCUUGUGCACCAGUUUCUUGUUUUUUGUUUUUUGUUUUCUUUUUGUCAUAGCACUAAGGAAGAAGCUAGAACUCAGGAAUCAAGGGAAACAUGGAGGAAUGAUGGAUUUCCCCAAACAGAGAUCAAACUGAUUAAUGCUCAUGGUCAGCCCUGAUUCGGGUUGCCCUGCAUGAAUUCACAAUGUCGCUGCAGCCUGCUGUUGAUCCCUUUGGUGGAAAGUGGCAAGAACUUUCAAUACCUUCAUUUUCUGCCCAUGGUGCCUGGAGGGAAGAGGCCAAACAUGAGCUGUCAUCUGGAGGCCAGAAGGAAUGGCCCAGCCCCGGUUUAAGGCGGCAGUGCCCUCCACCAACUCACUGCCCUGUAUUGAACUCUAACUCCCAGAUCUGCACGCUCACAGUGUUUUGAAGCCUCCUACAGCUCUGCUCUCUGAGAAGUCAUGCUGACUCAUUGGCUCAAGCUGUGAUGCUCAGCUGUCUGUCCAUCUUGUCUCCUGGAACAGCUCAAUCCAGGGUCUUCCUGAAGUGGUGAUCACUCCAGCUGGCAGGGGUAGAAAAUGGUACCAGUCAGGUCAGAGCUCUGGGAUCCCACAGUCACUGCUGCAGGAUGGAGGAACCUACUCCUGAGCCUGUCUAUGUGGAUGUGGACAAGGGGCUGACCUUGGCUUGCUUCGUUUUCCUCUGCCUCUUCCUCGUAGUCAUGAUCAUCCGCUGUGCCAAAGUCAUCAUGGACCCCUACAGUGCCAUCCCCACGUCAACCUGGGAGGAGCAGCACCUGGAUGACUGAGGCACAGGACAGGUCUCAGUAUCCCCAACAUGCCUUUGUACACUCUGGCCAACAUCCUGCGAGCACUUGGAGACUGGGAGUGGCUAUGAUCACCCAAAACUGGAGAAGGCUCACCUUUGCCUUACUGGCUCUCACAUGACCACCAGAGGGGAAUGCCAUCGUGCAGGAGCCAAGGCAGUCUGGAGGAUCCUGGGGAGAGGAAUGCUGAGCCAUGACUCAGUCGAGUGGAGAUGAUGUUGGGACUCCACUGGGAGACAGCAGGGUGAUAGUUCCCUGCCCAGGCUCCUGGGCACCUUUGAAAACUGAACCAAAACCAGAUACUCUGGUCUACAAAUAGUGGUCAGGAGGAGACUGACCUUCAACUACACAGCAUGGAGAGGUUGCUGAGAGCCCAGUACCCUCUACAGACUAACAGUGAGGGGCAGGAAGGAUGAAGACUUCAGGGGGCUUCUCCUCCAAAUUCUCACAAGGCACACAGCUACUUUCAAACUUUUAUUUUCAAAAGAAAAAAACUCCAUAAAAACACAAACUAAGAUACAGAAGGGAUAUAUUUUUCCUGUUAAAAAUGAGAUGUGCAUUUUAGACACUUGGGAAAAUAUAAAUAAAUAGAAGGGAAGGGAGGCGAAUAGCACUUAAAAAUCCAACCUCCCCAAAGCCAUCAUUUUGAUACAUUUCUUCAAGUCUUUUUUACAGGAUUUUUUUUAGUAAUUCACACCAUAUGCAUGAUGCUGCAUUGAUUUGUAUGAUAGCUUAAAUAUCUUCUGCCUCACAAGAUACCAUGGCUGUUUUUAGUGACUGAGAGUAAACUGGCUAGGCCAUGGCUGAAUAUAGUCCUUUUCUUUAAUCUGUCUAACUUUCUACAAUGUACUCAUGCAAA
rnacentral:sRNA from 1 species